CACUCCUAGGGAGGCAGCAGUGGGGAAUAUUGGACAAUGGGCGCAAGCCUGAUCCAGCCAUGCCGCGUGAGUGAUGAAGGCCCUAGGGUUGUAAAGCUCUUUUGUGCGGGAAGAUAAUGACGGUACCGCAAGAAUAAGCCCCGGCUAACUUCGUGCCAGCAGCCGCGGUAAUACGAAGGGGGCUAGCGUUGCUCGGAAUCACUGGGCGUAAAGGGUGCGUAGGCGGGUCUUUAAGUCAGGGGUGAAAUCCUGGAGCUCAACUCCAGAACUGCCUUUGAUACUGAAGAUCUUGAGUUCGGGAGAGGUGAGUGGAACUGCGAGUGUAGAGGUGAAAUUCGUAGAUAUUCGCAAGAACACCAGUGGCGAAGGCGGCUCACUGGCCCGAUACUGACGCUGAGGCACGAAAGCGUGGGGAGCAAACAGGAUUAGAAACCCUUGUAGUCC
rnacentral:rRNA from 1 species